GCAAUAACACAUCGAAACACCUGUUCUCGUACGAACACUGAAGUUAAGCAACGUCGAGCCUGGUCAGUGCCUAUAUGGGUGAUCGCUUGGGAAUACUAGGUGCUGUAA